rnacentral:snRNA from 1 species
AGCUUUGUGCAGUGGCAGUAUCAUAGCCAAUGUGGUUUAUCCGAGGCACGAUUAUUGCUAAUUGAAAACUUUUCCCAAAGGUUUUGGUAAUCGUGAGCCAGGAACCAUGGACAUAGAAUAAAUAUUUAUGAAAUAUAUUUUGGUCAUCUGAAUGACCCAAUAUAU